rnacentral:rRNA from 1 species
GAUGAACGCUGGCGGCGUGCCUAAUACAUGCAAGUCGAGCGAGCGGACGAGAAGCUUGCUUCUCUGAUGUUAGCGGCGGACGGGUGAGUAACACGUGGAUAACCUACCUAUAAGACUGGGAUAACUUCGGGAAACCGGAGCUAAUACCGGAUAAUAUUUUGAACCGCAUGGUUCAAAAGUGAAAGACGGUCUUGCUGUCACUUAUAGAUGGAUCCGCGCUGCAUUAGCUAGUUGGUAAGGUAACGGCUUACCAAGGCAACGAUGCAUAGCCGACCUGAGAGGGUGAUCGGCCACACUGGAACUGAGACACGGUCCAGACUCCUACGGGAGGCAGCAGUAGGGAAUCUUCCGCAAUGGGCGAAAGCCUGACGGAGCAAGGCCGCGUGAGUGAUGAAGGUCUUCGGAUCGUAAAACUCUGUUAUUAGGGAAGAACAGAUGUGUAAGUAACUGUGCACAUAUUGACGGUACCUAAUCAGAAAGCCACGGCUAACUACGUG